rnacentral:rRNA from 1 species
GAGGAGCUUGCUCCUCCGGAUUAGUGGCGAACGGGUGAGUAACACGUGAGCAAUCUGCCCUUGACUCUGGGAUAAGCGCUGGAAACGGCGUCUAAUACCGGAUACGACCCGCGGAGGCAUCUCCUGCGGGUGGAAAGAACUUCGGUCAAGGAUGAGCUCGCGGCCUAUCAGCUUGUUGGUGAGGUAAUGGCUCACCAAGGCGACGACGGGUAGCCGGCCUGAGAGGGUGACCGGCCACACUGGGACUGAGACACGGCCCAGACUCCUACGGGAGGCAGCAGUGGGGAAUAUUGCACAAUGGGCGCAAGCCUGAUGCAGCAACGCCGCGUGAGGGACGACGGCCUUCGGGUUGUAAACCUCUUUUAGCAGGGAAGAAGCGAGAGUGACGGUACCUGCAGAAAAAGCACCGGCUAACUACGUGCCAGCAGCCGCGGUAAUACGUAGGGUGCAAGCGUUGUCCGGAAUUAUUGGGCGUAAAGAGCUCGUAGGCGGUCUGUCGCGUCUGCUGUGAAAACCCGAGGCUCAACCUCGGGCUUGCAGUGGGUACGGGCAGACUAGAGUGCGGUAGGGGAGAUUGGAAUUCCUGGUGUAGCGGUGGAAUGCGCAGAUAUCAGGAGGAACACCGAUGGCGAAGGCAGAUCUCUGGGCCGUAACUGACGCUGAGGAGCGAAAGCGUGGGGAGCAAACAGGCUUAGAUACCCUGGUAGUCCACGCCGUAAACGUUGGGAACUAGAUGU